CCCUGACCUAGGUGCUUCUCAAAAAAAAAAAAAAGGUGCUUCUCGAAACCUGCCGCCGCCGCAGACGGCUACUCCCCAUCCCCAAGGCUGCGCGGAAGGCUGUGGUUGCUCCGGCUGGCUGGUGAUGGAGGACGCUAGCUUGAGUUCUUGUUGGACGCCGAUGACGGUAAGUUGCAGGUUUUCGCUGGGAGAAGAGUUUGCGGACAGCUAGGAAGAACCAGAUCCGGUCCCUCUGCGGUGCUCCCGCGGCUGAAUGCUGCCCCUGCUAUGCCGGCGGACUCGAAUAUUGGCUCCGGGUGCGGGCAGCAUGUUGGUGGCUCCGGAGGGCAACAAGCGCCGGCGACGGCAAGCUUCUCCGACGAUGUAGCAGGCCCCUGACAGGGUCAAUCCCGAGGCGCCGGGCUGGACCAAAAGGCCUUGUUGGUAUGUGGUGCACCAUUUGAAGAGAAGAUGGAUGUUGGGCUUUUAGGACAGCCAGACCACUUUGCCUGGCAGGAGGCUACCUGUCGAUGGAGAAGUUGCAUUUCUGGGAAAUGGCAGUGCAGAGCGUGAAGACAUCUAUCUAUCAGUGUGAAUGCACUUCAAGGGCCUGCUGCUCCGGAAGAGCAGACAGGUGUCGACAGGCCAACGAAUAGCCGGGAGAAAGCACCGUAUGAUAUUCUGCAGGCUGCAGCAUUUGUCAUCGCAAAGGCCACAAGAGAACAACCUACCCUGACAGGGAAUGCAAGAGCACCAUCGGUGGUGCUCAAAAUCAGAUGUGAUAGUUAAUUUUUCUAAUUCUGAAACUUGUACUCUGAAGAUUUUCUAGUGUGUUUCAGUGAGCAAUGCUCCCUUGUGUUCCUCCAGUUCAGGACGUCAGACUUACUAUACCAUUCAGUAAACUUUGUUGUCGUUCAUCAGUAUUUUCUUGGGUUCCCCUUGGGCCGUCAGUGUUUGUAAGCUAUGCUACGCAUGUACUAAGUACUUGCGAGCUUUUGCGUUUGAGGCACUCUUGAUAUUAACCAUACCAUGUGGAUGUUCAUGGGUAGUGGAGUUGUA